ensembl:lincRNA
UCAAGAGCUGGGAAUCAAAUUUUGCCCAAUGAAACAUCCUAUGGUGUUUAAACACUGGCAUCUGGUUAAACAUAAACAUAAACAACACUGAGUGGGCCGAAUUAAGAUCAGGUGCAGGCCAGAUCUGCCCAUGGGCUGCCAGUCUGCGAUGCCUGACGUAGAUGCCGCCUCACGUUACUCAGAAGUUUAUGAUUCCAUCCCACGUGCAGCUCUUCAAAACGCUGCUGUAAGGGCGGCGGAAUCCGUGCGUUCUGGGGCCCGGCCGCUUCUGAUCGCGGUCCUGGGCCCCACCCAUGCCCUUGCGCAGCCCUCUCCGGGAGAGGACUGUACGCCGGGACUCAGCCCUGUCCCUGGUGGCCGGGAUGGGUCGCAUGGCUUUUUCACACCCUCCCUACCUGCUCGCCUGCUCUCCCAGCAGAGCCGCAGCGAUGACUCAGCCUCUGGCUGCCCAAGCCGGCCCAGUCCUGAGCCCCAAGUGAAUGUUCCUGGAAUUCGGAUGAAGUGGAAUGGAACACAAAGAAGAGAAAACAUCUGGACUCCAGUCAGCCCUGUGGCUUGGUGAGAAUGGGUGCUGAGUAAAGGUUGGUUGACUGACUUGGGAACAGCCUGGCCCUCGGGAGAAGGACAAGGAUGUGGGGGAUGGCAUUUCAGCUGGGACAAGAGGCUCCGAGAGUCCGGUGUCUGCCAGAUCUCCUACCAACCAUCAGCUUUGCAAGGCAGGCAGAAGCCAACUCGGAGCUCCCCCAGGCUGUGGCCACUUGAAGUUCCUGGUAAGCGAGGCUCAGAGAGGGGCAGGGGCUUGCCUGAGGUCACCCAGGAUGUCGACAGAACCUAGAUUCGGCCAUGUAGCUCCCAGCUCAGCUCUUCCUCCUGCUGGUUUUCUCACCUCUGCACUCUGGUGCCUUCAAGGCAAGGAGACCAAGGGAAAGCAGGCCUGCAUGCUGAGGGCUUCCUACAUUCUAGCUGAAACAUCAGCUGCCAGGGUUCAACCUUCCCAUUUUACAGAUGCCAUCCCUGAGGCACUGUGAGGCUGUGGGUCCUGCACCGGAGUUUGCAGGGGCUGGAAACUCAGGCCAGGUGACCCCAGUGUUGAGCUUUCCCCACAUUCGCAUCCUGUCUCUUGACCCUGCCAUAGCGAUUCUCACUCCCCAAGCUAGGGGCAGAGUGUGACUUCCCACUGGGGCUCUCAAGCUCCAGACCCGAGGCUGGCAGUUUAGGACUUAACUGCUCAUGCUUGAUCCAUAUGUCUGAGGUGCCUGAGAAACUUGCUUGCCUGACCACCUGUCCUUCAGGUGGAGAAAGGGGAAGCUGAGAGCAUUCCAGGGUCUGGUCAGGGUCACAGGGAGACCAGUCAUGGUGGAACCAGGGCCAAGGUCUGCCAUGUCUCUCUUGGCCAGUGUUCAGCCAUCUGCGGUUCAGUAAUGACCUCUACACUCAGCCCUGGAGAAAAAGAAUGAUGCAUCUUGGCGAGUCCAAGGUCAAGGGCACCUCCUUCCACAAAUGUAGCGGAUGCCUUGCACUCACAUAGCCAUUCUCAGACUUUUUGGUCUCAAGACCCUCUUAAAAAUCACUGAACCCCAAAGAUUUUUUGUUUAUGGUGUUUAUGUCUAUCAAUAUUUACUGUAUCAGAAAUAGAAAUUGAGACACUUAAUAAAUAUCAAUGAUGUAAAAAUAACUAAGCACUCUAACAUAAAUACAUGUUACAAAAAAUAACCAUACUUUAGGAAAAAAUUAGGGUGAAGAGUAGCACUGCUUUACAUUUUUCCAAAUCUCUUUAUUGUCUGCUUUAAUAGAGAGCAGCUGGAUUCUCACAUCUGUGUCUGCGUUCAAUCUGCUAUGAAAUAACGUGACACGUUGCCUCUGGGAAACUCCAUAGUAUACUCGUGGGAGAACGAGAGUGCAAAAGCUCUUAGUCUUACAAUGAAAACAGCUGUGACCUCGGGAUCCCCUUGAAAGCGUCCUGGAGAUCUUCAGGGGUCCCUGGACCAUACUUUGAGAACCGGUGGUCUACAUUCUGAUUUAUAUGAAGUGGAUCUGGUUGUCAUUUGUAUUUGAUAGAGGCCCAAAGUGAGGCUCAGGCUUCCCAGGGGGCACUAGUGGGAAGAACCUGCCUGCCAGGGCAGGAGACCAAGAGACACUGAUUCGAUCCCUGGGUCAGAAAGAUCCCCUGGAGGAGGAAAUGGCAACCCACUCCAGUAUUCUUGCCUGGAGAAUCCCAUGGACAGAGGAGCCUGGCGGGCUACAGUCUGUGGGGUCACCAAGAGUCAGACACGACAGCAGGCAUGCAAUCACGAAUGGAUCAAGGUGAGGCUCAGCGAGGUUGUGAGGCUUGCCCCCAGAGACACACGACCAGUGAAUGGUGCUGUCGGGAUUUGAACCCAAGACCAUCACCUCUAAGUAACUGUGUCCUUAAUGGUGCUGUCAGGAUUUGAACCCAAGACCAUCACCUCUAAGUAACUGUGUCCUUAACAGCAAAACUGUUCUCCAACCUCUGGCUGGUGGACAGGGAUGGUUGUAAGAGGGAUGGUAUCAGGAAGGAGCCAGAGGCUGUGGGAUGCCAUUAGGUAGGGAGAAUGAAGUAGUGAGGUGGGUACAGUGUGCUCAGGGUCAGCCUGUCUGGACCCACAUCCUGGCUCUGACCUGUGCAUUCUGUCUGACCUGGGGCCAAGCACUCAGCUUCUCUGAGUUUCAGACAUCCCCUCUGUAAAAUGUGAUAAUAUGCUAUCUGCACCAUAGGGUCUUUGGGAAGAUUAAAUAUUAAUUCAUGUAAAUAUUAACAGUGCUCAAUAAAUGUGGAUAGUGUAUACAUCCUUUGUUGCUAUAAAUUUGAGGACAGGGCUGUGCAUAUGUUUUCACUGAGGUUGGAGAGAGAGGCAGGGGUGCCUAGAGUACAGGUCCUGAGGGCCGGGGCCGGGGCAGUGAGGAGAUAGGUGGCCUGGAGGGCGAGGGAGGGCUCAAACCCGGGGCGUGGUGCUCCCGAGUGCUGGGUAUCUGCUGAUGCUGACUCCAUGACUUCAGGCGCCCAAGUCAGCACUGAAAUACGCUCUGACCGGAGGGCCAGCCGUGCCUGCCCCAGUGGACAGAAGCCAAAUCUCUUGUUCAGGUCACCAUCCUGGCCACUGUGUCCUGAGACCAGGCCUCCAAGAGUCCAGCCUAGAAAAGCCUCCAGACCACCUGCCUCUCCUGACCUCAUUCGGGGAGCGAAGCCGCAAGCUCUAGCUCCCUCUUCUCCUGUAUUCCCGGCUCUAGAAUAUAGUCUAGAGCCACACUGUCAAGCGAUCCUGGAGCUGCCUUGCCCAACUGCCCCCUUUCCCUUUUAGUAGGUGGGGAAUUUGAGUCCCGGAGACAGAAAGGAGAGGCUCACACCACACAGCAAAGCUGGGAAUACGAAGCCCAGAUUGCCUGAUGUUUGCCUCGGGUUGCGCCACCAUGGCACAUCCCGCUUGCCCUGCUCAGCAGGGAUUUAAGGCCAAUGUGUCUGAGGACAGUGGCUCUGGAGCUCCCCUGCCUGGUACAAGUCUCAACUCUGCCACUUCCUGGCUCUGAGACCUCAGGCAAGAUGCUUAGCCUUUCUAUGCCUCGUUUUUCUUUAAUUAUAGAAUGGGAACACAUAAUUUCACCUCCUUCAGUUAAGUAUUGUAUGGAUUAAUGCGAGCAGAUCCAUGCAAAGCACAUGAGACACUGCUGAGCACUGAGCCCUGGUGGGCAACACAGACACCAUCACCACCACCAUCACCAUCCUCGUUGAGCGCUGAGCCCUGGUGGGCAACACGGACACCAUCACCACCACCUUCACCAUCCUCGUCGUGAGGAGAUGCACUGGGGUGUUCCUUGUGGAGCAUUCACCCUACUCUCUGCAAGGGAGAGGAGGGUAAAGGCAGAGCUGGAUCCUGACCUCUGCAUAGUAACUGAUUCACAGGGCGAUUUGGGGCAGAUGGCCUGCUGUGUCUGGGUCUCUGGGAUUCCAGCUGGAACAAAAGGGUCUGUUUAAAAAAUUUUUUUCUAUUAUACCUCUAGCCUCCUCUGGCAAUAAUGACCAUAGAGAUGUGUAGGGCUGCUCAUUACAGUAUAAGGUAGCAAUAAACACCUGGAAAACAAUCUUAAGGUCCUUCUACUCUGCAGCUUUAAAAAUAAGAGUAUAGUUCCAAACGGAAAUAAUCCAAAUGUUCGUCAACAGGUGAAGGGAAACCCAAACUGACACAUCGAAGCGGUAAAACACUCUUCUGCAAUGAAAGGCAAUGAACUCAGGACACAGCAACAUGGGUGAGCCUCAGAAACAUCACGCUUGGUGAGGAAGCCUUGCCCCAAAGAGUGCCUGCCGUGUUAUCCGUUAAAGUGAAAUUCUGGAGGACUUUCCUGGUGGUCCAGUGGUUAGGGAUCUGCCUUGCAAUGCAAGAUUCCAUCCCUGGUCAAGGAACUAAGAUCCCACAAGCCAUGGAGUUACUGAGCUUGGGAGGUUCAACCGCUGAGCCAGCAUGCCGGCCGCAGUUACUGAGCCCUGCAUCACAACCAGAGAGUCUGUGCAUCGCAACGAGAGAGCCCGUGUAUUGCAACUAGAACCCAACACAGCCAAAAAGUAAAUAAAUAAAUUUCUGGAAAAGGGAAAUCUAAACUCUAGGGACAGGAAAUAGUUUAUUGGUUACCUGGGGCUGGGUAUGAGGACAAGAGAUUGGUAACAAAAGGGCAUGAGGGAAUUUUGGGGGCAACAGAAAUGUUCCAGGUCUUGAUGACGGUGGUGGUUACAUGGAUGUAUAUAAAUUUGUGAAACUCACUGAAUUGUUCUCUUAAAAUGGGUACAUUUUACUCUAUGUAAAUCAUACCACAAUCAAAUUGGUUAAAAUAAUAAAUGAUAAUUCACACAUAUAAGGAAAACUUUGAAUUUGUCAGGAGUGGGCUACAUCUUUGGCACCAAUACGGCGAGAUGUGCAUGUUGCGUUGUUAAAAGAAAAAUAAAGGCAGUUACACAACAAGGCAGGAGACCCUGAUGGUUAUGGAGAGAGAUCUCUGGGGGCUGAGCCUGGGCCGCACGCCUCACGUGCAUGCAAGGUUUUAUAGAUGAGAAGACUGAGGCGCAGAGAGAUGAAGUAACAC